CUCAUUCCCUCUUGUCUGCUGCCAUGUGUCUUGUGUCUUUCACCAUGAUUGUGAGGCCUCCCCUGCCGCGUGGAACUACAGACUCUUGCUCUGUUGCCCAGUCUAGAGUGAGCAAGCAGCCUCUCACUAGAGUUCACUGCAGCCUGGAGUUCCUGGGGUCAAGUAAUCCUCCUGCCUCAGCCCGCCAGAGCGCUGGUAUUACAGAUGUGAACCACUGCAUCUGGCCAACUGUUCUUUUAAAUCAUGUCACUUUACAAAGCAAUUAUAGGAAUCUUAUAACCAUAUAUAAUAAUUUCCAAAUUGUAUGGCUACUAUAAGUUGAUUAAAAGUCUAGAGAACAACAGAUUUGAGGCUUAUAAUUGUACUGUAAUGCAUGCUUUAUUCAUUAGGAUCUCAGCACGUAGGCAGACAUUAAACAAAACUUAUGCUAACAUUUGAGGACUCACUGUAUUCUAGGCACUGGUAAGGGCUUGAUAUAAAUUAUCUUCUAUAAUCCCCAAAACAAUCCUAUUCUUCCCCCUUGGUACGGAUGAAGAAAUUGUGCCUUCACCACAGAAAUAGCAGAGCUGGAAUUUGUUCCAGGAAGUCAGACUCCAGAGGCCACGUUCUUAAGCUCUGAAUGAAAACAGAAAAAAGCACAAUAAAAAGUGAACGCACAUUGAGAAAUGUGCGUUCACUUUAUAUUGUGCUGUUUUUAAGGAGAAAGCGUAUACUGUUCUAAUUUAUAUUACUUAUUUGCUAAUUUUCAAGAAAUUUCAAACUUCCCAUUUCAGUGUUAGAACUGAAGUGAGAAUCAGAAGCCCUGAGCUCUUUUUCCGUCUCUACCGCCCCUUUGACAUCAGACCAGUUUUUGACCUUUCUAAUAAAAUGACCUGUAUCCUUGUGAUAUGGUUUGGCUCUGUAUCCCCACCCAAAUCACAUCUUGUAUCUCCCAAAUUCCCAUGUGUUGUGGGAGGAACCCUGUGGGAGAUAAUGGAAUCAUGGGGGCGGGUCUUUCCCGUGCUGUUCUCCUGAUGGUGAAUAAGUCUCACGAGAUCUGAUGGCUUUAAAAACGGGAAUUUUCCUGUGCAAGCUCUCUUCUCUUGUCUGCCACCACGUGAGACAUGCCUUUCACCUUCCGCCAUGAUUGUGAGGCCUCCCCAGCCACGUGGAACUCUAAGUCCAUUAAACCUCUUUCUUUUUUAAAGUGCCCAGCCCGGGGUAUGUCUUUAUCAGCAGCGUGAAAACAGACCUUGUCUAGUGCUCUUGGUAUUGAAGCCUUGUGGUGCUGUAUUGAAGUCAAUGGGGAUAUAAUAGGUCAUCCCUAAGUGGAUAUGUUCCUCAUGCCCACUGCAAGGCAACCAUAACAGAGUAUAAAACAUGAGCCCAAACUUCCAUGUAUAAAAAAAGUGCACUUGAGAGAGCAUGAAGAUCAUUUGGUUCAACAUCCCUGUCUCUGUAUUUCCUUUGCCUUAUAAUAUCGUUGACUAGGACUCAGUGAUUCCCCACAGCGGUGCUUUUAGCCUUUGACGCAAUUCUUGGUUGUUGAGGAUUAUCCCAUGAUUGGAAGAUAGUUAACAUCUUUGGCCCCACCUUCAAAAUGCUACUAGAGCGCUGCACAUUUUCAAACACAUACCUAGGAAAAAACAGUAAAACCUUUCGUCAAAAACCAUGCGAAAACUCCUAGAAUCUUUAUCUCUCACUCAGCCCAGAGAUUGUCAACAAUAGAGAAACAUCACGGAAGACAAAAAACCCACAGGCACUUUGAGUCCACCAGUCAACAGCCUAUACUGAUUGCUGGUGGGGUUCCCUGUAUCCAGCGAGGAAGACAGAAUGCAAAGCCAAGAAAGGUACAUGAAAUGUGUGGUAGUGGUUCCUCUUGUGAUCAAGCAGCUUUAGAGAUUGGCAUUGAAAAUAUAGAACUAUGAUUUAUGAUCUUCAACAUGAAAAUGAUCAUUGAUGCGACACAGAAAAAUACAAAACAGGAUUGACGGCCACAAUGUGUAUAUGUGUUGUGAGUGUAAAGGGUAGAAUAUUUCAGACUCUCUGUGUUAACCAAAAAUAAAAUUAUUUUCUUGUUUUUCUGUAACUCAACCUCAAUUUGAACACACUAUUUCACAUAAUAACAGAAAUUUGGUCUAAUCAUUCAAAACAAACUCCAAGGUUUUCUCAGUCAUUUCUUACGUAAUCUCAAUAUUCUCUCUCUUUCAUUCCUUUUCCAUUUGUGGAGGUGAGAGGCUAAUAAUAGUAAUAAUUAUAACAAUAGCUAAAAUAUUAAGCUACUAUUAACUUCUUAAGGUGCAAUCCCUCCCUCACACCACUCCCUGCUUUCUCAUCCCCAGACAGCUGAUCUUCUUUCUAUCGUGAUAGAUUAGUCUGCAUUUUUAUAUGUCAUUUUAUAUAAAUUGAAUCAUACCAUAUGUACUCUUUUUGUUUGGCUUCAUUCACUCAACAUAAUUUUUUUGAGAUUCAUUCAUAUUGUUGCUUGUAUUAAUAAUUCAUUCCUUUUUAUUGUGUGAAUAUACCUCAUUCCAUUAAACAGGUAAUGGAAAUUUUGGUUGUUUCCAGUUUGUAACCAUCACAAAUAGAGUCUCUGUGAAUAUUAAGGUACAACCUGUUUGGUGGACAUAUGUUUCCACUUUCCUUCUACUCUUCCUAGAAGUGGAAUGCAGGGGUCAUACGGUAGGUGUUCAUACAUCUUUCUAAGAAAAUGCCAAACUGUUUUCCAAAGUGAUUUUAUUAUUUUACAUUCACACCAGUAAUGUAUAAGAGUUUAUAGUCCCUCCAGCAAACUAACAAGGAACAGAAAACCAAACACCACAUGUUUUCACUCAUAAGCGGGAGUUGAACGAUGAGAACAUAUGGACACACGGAGGGGUACAUCACACAUCGGGGCCUAUCAGGUGGUUGGGGGCAAGGGUAGGGAAAACAUUAGGACAAAUAUCUAAUGCAUGUGGGGCUUAAAACCUAGAUCAUGGGUUGACAGGUGCAGCAAACCACCAUGGCACAUGUAUACCUAUGUAACAAACCUGCACGUUCUGCAUAUGUAUCCCAGAACUUAAAGUAAAAUUAAAAAUAAAAAAGUUUACAGCCCCCCAAUAUGUAAUAUGCUCAGACUUUUAAAAUUUCUGUCAUUUCAGUGGGUGAGUAGUGAUAACUCAUUGUGGUGGAAUUUUCAUUUCCCUAGUGACUAAUGAUCUUAAGCCUCUUUUGAUGUGUUUAUCAUCUGUAUAACUCCUUUGAUAAAACAUCUGUUUGUAUAUCUUGCCCAUUUUCUACUAUGCUAUUUCUUUUUAUUAGACAUUUUUAUGUUCUAAUUACAAGUUAUUUAUCAGAUUCAUGUUUGCAAUAUUUUUCCUGGUUUAUUUGCUUAACAGAAUAAACUGUUUUAGAUGGUAAUGCACAAUAUUAAUUUUUUUCUCUUAUGAAUUGUGUUUCUGGUGUUGUAUUUAAGAAAUAUUUUCCAAGGCCAAGACCACUAAAGUUUUCUCCUAUGUUAUCGUCUAGAAGUCCUAUACUUUUGACAUGUUUUUUUCUUUUUUUUGAGACAGAGUCUCACUCUGUCACCCAGGCUGGAGUUCAAUGGUGAGAUCUCGGCUCACUGCAACCUCCGCCUCCCGGAUUCAAGCAAUUCUCCUGCCUCAGCCUCCUUAGUAGCUGGGAUUACAGGCAUGCGCCACCAUGCUCGGCUAAUUUUUGUAUUUUUAGUAGAGACAGGGUUUCACCAUGUUGGCCAGGCUGGUCUCAGACUCCUGACCUCAGGUGAUCUGCCCACCUCAGCCUCCCAAAGUGCUGGGAUUACAGGCAUGAGCCACCACACCCAGCAAUUUUAGGGUUUAUAUUUAAGUCUAUGAACCAUUUCAAUAUAAUUUUUGUUGAUAUUGGGAGGUAAGAGUUGAGUAUUGGGUUUCUGCAUGUGGCUACGUGAUUGUUCCCAAACCAUUUGUUGAAAAGAUUAUACUUUUCCCAUUAAACGCAUUCCACUUACCUAUUUUUCUAUCCUUACACCAAAAUCACACUCUCUUGCUCACUGCAGAUUUAUAUGCUAAGUUUUAAAAUCAGUUAAUGAAGACCUCCAACUUUCUUCUUUUUCAAAGUUGUUUUGGAAUUUCUACGUCCUUUGCAUUUCUAUAUAAAUGUUAGAAUAAUGUUGUUAAUUGCCUGAAAAAAAAGGCUUUCUAAGGAUUUGGUUAUCAUUGUGUUACACAUGUAGAUCAUUUGGGGGAUAAUUAAUAAUAACAUUGAAACUUAUGAUCCAAACACUGUAUAUUCUCCAAUUAUUUAGGCCUUCUUUAAGUUAUCUUAGCAAUGAUCGGUAGUUUUCCAAGUACGGGUCUUGAGAAUCUUUCGUUAAGGGUAUACGUCGUUAUGCUAUUUUUUUUUUUUUUUUUUUUUUUUUUUUGAGACUGAGUCUCGCUCUUUCGCCCAGGCCGGACUGCAGCGGCACUGUCUCGACUUACUGCAAGCUCUGCCUCCCGGGUUCACGCCAUUCUCCUGCCUCAGCCUCCCCAGUAGCUGGGACUACAGGCGCCCGCCACCACACCCGGCUAAUUUUUUGUAUUUUUAGUAGAGACGGGGUUUCACCAUGUUAGCCAAGAUGGUCUCGAUCUCCCGAUCUCGUGAUCCGCCUGCCUCGGCCUCCCAAAGUGCUGGGAUUACAGGCGUGAGCCACCGCGCCUGACCUCCAAUGCUGUUUUUAAUGUACUUUUUAAAUUUAUAUUCCUAAUUGUUUGCCACCCAUAUAUACAAAUACAAUUUAAUUUUGUAUUUAUAUCUUGUCAUCUCUAGAUAUAAUUGGUUUUACUUCUUCUUUUUUUAUCGGCAUGACUUUUGUUUGUUUUUCUUGCCUAUUGCAUUGGAUAGAACCUCUAGUACGAUAACUGAGCAAAAGCAAUUAAAGCAGACAUCCUUAUUUUCUUUCUAUCCUUAGAAGGAAAGCAUUAAGUCUUUCACCAUUAAGUUUGAUGUUAACUGUAGGUUUCUCACAGAUACCCUUUAUUAAGGUUAACACAGCUUCUUUCUCUGCUAAUUGUUUUUUUCAGAAAUGAAUGUUGGAUUUUGCCAAAGCUUCUUCCACAUCUACUGAGGUGAUCAUAUGGUUCUUUUGUAAUCUGUUAAUGUGGUGAAUUACAUAGGUUGAUUUUCAGUGUGAAACCAACUCUGCAGUCUUGGAUGAAUUCUACUGGAUCAUUAUGUGCAUGAUGGAUGCAUCCCAAGGACAUGGCUAUUUCCAUGACUACCUAUCCUGCCCCACAGAGGCUCUGAGGAUGAAUCACAAGAAGUUAGCUGGAGAGUGAAUCUCCCACAUGAGAGGAUUGGAGCAGAGGGCAGCCAAGAAUUCACCCUGCAAAAAAAAACCUAUUUGAACAUCCAUCAUUCUCAAAGAAAAAAAAACAAUGGUAUAUCUACUACGUAUGCUUCAUUUAAAAAUUUUGAAUUAUUAUCCAUAAGUAUGACUGGUCAUAGGAGGGGUGUGUGUGUGUGUGUGUGUGUGUGUGUGUGUGUGUCUUUGUUAGGUUUUGAUAAUGCGUUUAUGUUGGCUUUGUACAAGGAAUUUUCUGUUGUGGCCCAAGUAAUAAUGUUUUCUUACAGUCUUACCAUCUUAGAUGAGACUUAAAGAGGCCCAGAGAACAGCCUGUGUUCUUGGUAAAACCACCUUUCCUACUCACUCUCACCUACAAACCCCUACAGCAUUCUCAGUGACCACAGUAAAGUAACUUACAGGCCAUUGACAAAAAGGAGUCUAUUAUAUGGAACAUAUAAUCACUAUUCCCUCGUUGCUCCUGAGAACCCAACAUUAUGCCUUCAUUCCAUUCACCUCAACAAUCCAAUCUUAUCAAGCACACUGCUCUACCAGAUUUUUAACCUCCUAACACUUUGUACAUCCACAAUCUAAAUCCAAUACCCCACCUCUCCCAAAUCCCCUAUAUUCCUUCUCUGAAACUCAUAUUCAUCAGUGUAGUCUAUAAUAUCUUCACCCUCUUUUCUGAGCAUUAUUCGUCCUUCUUCAUGAACGCAGUCUGUCUUCUAUGGACUCUGAUAUUCUGUAACUCUUUCAAGUAGAGGUGAUUUUUUCUCCAUACUAUAUGUGCCACCAAACCUAAAGGUAGAUUAGAUGUCAGACUUUUUCCUCCUUGCUACAUCCAAACAUCUUACCCCCUACUUCUUAAAACCCCCUUGAUAAUUCAGAGCACAUGCCAUCAGAACAUGACACGCUUAAUGUACUGAGAACUGUAGCACUCAGCACGUGACUUUCUUUCAACUGCUAUCAUCAACUUAGGUAAGUCGCUAUGCCUGUAGAGUCAACACCUUGCCCCUCCAGUUUCUUGACCUUUUUGCUUUCAAUAAUUUUCUUCUACAUCCUGCCUCUUCCACCAACAACUACAUCAUCUUCAAUAUCUGGGUUUUGAUCACCCCUGUCUCUGAUAAUUACUUCCUCUGAUGACUUCCAAUUAAGUUGGAAUUAUGAUCACUGGAAUUAUGGAAUGGAUAUGGAAUUAUAAUAAUUCCAAUAAGCUUCACUCCUAUUACUCAAGGUAAUGUCAAACUCACUGUAUCUGUCAAUCCACUAAGCUGGCCACUUUUUUAUGCUACAACACGCAUCUCACGCCCUCCCUUCCCUCCUUACCCAGCUUAGAUCCCAUGACCUACCAUUAUAAUGACUACCACACAUACCCUCAGCCCCUUCAUCCACUUUUUCUUCUUUACACUCAUCUAACAAAACAUCAACCCUAACUAAAUUCAAUUCCAAGUACAACUCUAAGUUCUACAUGUUUAUUAAUCUCUUAAUUGAUUGGAUUUCUACAUUAAGUACUUUUUCCAGGAAGAAUCAUGGAUGUCGUAUUCCCUAGGUCCUUGCAUUUUCAAGAUCAUCCAUCUGUAAUCUUCACACCUGAACUGAAACGAGCCAGGUAUAAAUAUUCUUAUUGAUAUUUUCUUUCUCUCUCAACAGUCUAGAUACUCUUCCACUGUCCUCUGGCACUGAAAGGUUGUGUGGAAAAGUUCUGAAACCAGUCUGAUGUUUAGUUCAUUGUUUAGUUCAUUUUUUCCCUUGAAUCCUGAAUAUUUAAUUAUCCCUAAGAAUCAGUAACUUUGCCUUAUGUAGAUUGAUAUUUAUGGAACAUGGUGCACCUUUCCAUUUUCAGAUGUUAAAACUUACUAAUUUCUUUAUAGUGGAAAAGUUGACGGGGGGUUGUUUUCUCAUUAUAUCUUGGAAUAUUUUUCGGUGUUUUUUUAAAAUCCAGAAAAGGUUAAUUGUUUUUUAUAUUGACCAUGUUUUCUGUAAAUUCUUUCAUGCUUUAUCUUUUUUCUUUGCAUUAUCCGAGUUAUUUCCAGCCUGUUUGUCAUUGGUUUAAUUUUCAACAAUGCCUACCUCACUAUUUUUUAUUAGUUCCAAUAUUAUGUCUUUUUAUACUCAAUUCAUUUCCCUAGUUCUCCCAUACUAUUCUCUGGUCUGUUAUCUUUUCAUCUUUGAGUUUUGGUUUUAUAUAGUCUAUACACUUUAUAAUUUCUUUAAAAAUGCAAAGCAUUAGUUGUGAAUGUUUUUCUUUUGUUUUCUAGGGCGUGUUCUCAUUUAGAGUACUACGCAUGAGAAGGUCAUUUAUUUCAUUUUUUAAAUAAUCAUAGGAACUUCUCAUAGUUGUUAUCCUGUCUCUUCUCAUUUCACUCAUAUUAGACAAGGCAGCUCUUCUCUUUGCCCAUGUGUGAGCUCUCCUUGAAUCUCUUCUUAUCUGCGAUCUAAGAGUGUUGUCUUACCUUCAGAUGGUCAACGUGAAGAAUGGGUAUUGAUAGGUCACACUCACUCUGCUCUUUGUUUAUCUGAGAUUGAGAAGCUAGAGAGAGGAAGCUAUGGGCAGUUAGGAAGAAGUUGGUCUCUUCUCUAUUUUCCUAUUGAUUUUAUAAAAUCCUGUUCUGUAUUUUGUUUUUUCUAGUGAAAUGUUGACUUCUCUCCUUAAUUCAGAGUGAGCUGCUGAAUCUUCCCUCUACAAAAUAUCACUCAUUCUUACUAGGCUUUAUUCCUCUUUCCACUGAAUAUUGAGCUUCUAAGUUCAAAUGGGAGUCUUUCAGGCUAGCCAUUAACUUUUCCUGUUCUGUAAAUGCCAAGAUAAAAUAUUAUGAGAGAUUAAAUUAGUAAAUCUAGUUAGAUUUUUUCUUAUAAUGAAAAUACAAGCUGGAAAAUUGGAGAAUGCUGUACAACCCUUCCAAACUCCAACAUGUUCAUAAGCUCAACUUUCUUAAAUUGAUAUUAAUAUUGUCAUUUCUUACUAACAAGGACUGCAGAUAAGCUUUAGGGACUCUUUUUUCCUUUCUUUCUUUUUAUUUCAACCUGUUGACAUAUAGGCAACAUGUCCACUAUACCAUGAUUUUAAGUGCUCCUUUCAAAUUCAUAUCUAGCCCUUCUUCCUAACCCAUUUUGGGGGUAAAAAGUUGCUGAGUUCAAAGUCCUAACAUCCUAAAGGACUUCUUUCUAAAUUAAGUGCCAUAAAGUUCUUAUCAAAGAAUAUAUGGAUUUACGCUAUCAAAGGCUUCCAUAGAAACCUCUAAUUUGACUCAAAUGAAAAGUUUAGUCCUUUUAAAAUGAAAACAUUAAAGCAAUAAGGUGAAAGCAUCACUUCCAUUGAUUUAGUAACCAGUGACUUCUAAGUGACUUUUAAAUUUGAAUCUCUUUUAAAAACCAGAAACAGGCCGGGCACGGUGGUUCACACCUGUAAUCCCAGCACUGUGGGAGGCCAAGGCGGGUGGAUCACGAGGUUAGGAGAUCGAGACCAUCCUGGCUAACACAGCGAAACCCUGUCUCUACUAAAAAUAAAAAAAACUAACCGGGAGUGGUGGUGGGUGCCCGUAGUCCCAGCUACUCAGGAGGCUGAGGCAGGAGAAUGGUGUGAACCCGGGAGGCGGAUCUUACAGUGAGUCGAGAUCGCGCCACUGCACUCCGGCCUGGGCAACAGAGCGAGACUCUGUCUCAAAAAAAUAAAUAAAUAAAAAUAAAAACCAGAAACAUACUGGCAAAUUCCGGUAGUCUACCUUUAUAUGGACACUGUAUUCUCACUUCAAAUCCAGUAGGGCCAAAAGAAAACUCAUAUUCUCCCUGUUGAACUGGUGUCUUUUUCUGAUUCGUCAUCUAUAACAUUUCUGCCAUUAUAUAUACACAAUGAAGCUUAACAAUCUUCUUUAUUUCUCCCUUUAUCAAAGAGUUCAUUGGUUAAUCAGUCACUCAGUUCUAAAGAUUUUUCUCCACCUUGGGAAUUAAAUCAUAUUUCUUCCUGUCCGUUCACACACACAUACCACUGAGAAAUGCGAGCCCAGGUUACUUUUCUCCCAAUCUCCCAAGCUAUCUUAAUAACAGCCAAUCUCCUCAUGAUUAGGCUCUCACUUUGCCAUCCCAAUUAAAGUUUUGACCAUGUCACCACCAACUUAAAAAACGUUCCAUGGUUCUCCAAUACCUUCUCAACCUCCUUUUGUUGUUUCAAUAUCCCCCACGAUCUGGUCCAAUCUCCCUGUCAACAUCAUCUCACAAAAGUAUACACAGUCAAGCCACAAUGCUUUAUUCACUAUUCUCCAACCACAUUUCAUGUCUUUCAUGAUGACACUUCUUCUGUCGAGGCUCCUGUGUUUAUUGCCACACUAUUCACAGUAGGAAAGAUAUGAAUCAACACGUGUGUUCAUCAGGCCCGGCGCAGUGGCUCACGCCUGUAAUCCCAGCACUUUGGGAGGACAAGACUGGCGGCUCACGAGGUCAGGAGAUCGAGACCAUCCUGGCUAACACGGUGAAACCCCGUCUCUACUAAAAAUAAAAAAAAAAUUAGCCAGGCUUGGUGGUGGGCGCCUGUAGUCCCAGCUACUCGGGAGUCUGAGACCGGAGAAUGGCGUGAACCUGGAGGUGGAGCUUGCAGUGAGCCGAGAUCACGCCACUACAAUCCAGCCUGGGCGACAGAGCAAGACUCCGUCUCAAAAAAAAAAAAAAAGUGUUCAUCAAUGGAUAAUGAGAUAAACAAAAUGUGGUGUGUGUGCGCGCACACACACACACACACACACACACACAGCCAUGUAAAAAGAAUGAAAUCCUGUCUUUUGCCGCAAUAUGGAUGGAACUGCAGGCCAUUACCUUAAGUGGAAUAACUCAGAAACACGAAGACAAAUACCGCAUGUUCUCACUUAGAAGUGGGAGCUGAACAGUGUAUACACAUGGACAUACAGUGUGGAAUAAUAGACACUGGAGAUUCGAAAGGGUGGCAGGGUGGGAAGGAGGUGAAGAAUAAGAAAUUAUUUAAUGGCUACAAUACACACUGUUGGAGUGACAGUUACACUAAAAGCCCAGGCUGCACCACUAAAUUAAAUAUCCAUGUAACAAAAUUGCACUUUCAACCCUUAAAUGUGUACAAAUAAAAAAAAGAACAUUUCUAUUCUUUCCUCUCCUGCUUCAUUUCUACAUGUUAAAUCCUAUUUAGCAUUCAAGUCUUGGAUCAAAUAUGCUGCUACAAAGCCUUCUUUGGGAUUCCG
rnacentral:lncRNA from 1 species